rnacentral:rRNA from 1 species
AUUGACUCAGUAACGGCGAGUGAAGCGGCAAAAGCUCAAAUUUGAAAUCUGGUACCUCUGGUGCCCGAGUUGUAAUUUGAAGAUAGUUUUCUGGUAUUGGGCCCUUGUCUAUGUUCCUUGGAACAGGACGUCAUAGAGGGUGAGAAUCCCGUCUGGCGGGGCGCCCUUUGCUAUGUAGAUUUCUAUCGACGAGUCGAGUUGUUUGGGAAUGCAGCUCUAAGUGGGUGGUAAAUUCCAUCUAAAGCUAAAUAUUGGCGAGAGACCGAUAGCGAACAAGUACAGUGAUGGAAAGAUGAAAAGAACUUUGAAAAGAGAGUGAAAAAGUACGUGAAAUUGUUGAAAGGGAAGGAUAUUGGAUCAGACUUGGUGUUGCAUGAUUAUCUUCCCCUUGUGGGUUGUGCACUCGUGCUUCACUGGGCCAGCAUCGGUUCGGACGGCAAGAUAAUGACAUUGGGAACGUGGCUCUUUCUUCGGUUAGAGUGUUAUAGCCCAUGUUGAUGUUGCCUGCCUGGACCGAGGACUGCGGCUUCGGCCUAGGAUGCUGGCGUAAUGAUUCAAUAUCGCCCGUCUUGAAACACGGACCAAGGAGUCUAACGUCUAUGCGAGUGUUUGGGUGUAACACCCAUACGCGUAAUGAAAGUGAACGUAGGUGAGAGCCGCAAGGUGCAUCAUCGACCGAUCCUGAUGUCUUCGGAUGGAUUUGAGUAAGAGCAUAGCUGUUGGGACCCGAAAGAUGGUGAACUAUGCCUGAAUAGGGUGAAGCCAGAGGAAACUCUGGUGGAGGCUCGUAGCGGUUCUGACGUGCAAAUCGAUCGUCGAAUUUGGGUAUAGGGGCGAAAGACUAAUCGAACCAUCUAGUAGCUGGUUCCUGCCGAA